UAGCCUAGUGGUUAAGGCUAUGGAUCGCCAAUCCGGAGACGGCGGGUUCAACUCCCGU
rnacentral:tRNA from 1 species